GGGCGGGUGGUGAAAUUGGUAAACACGCAUGGUUUAGGACCAUGUGCCGUAAGGCUUGGAGGUUCGAGUCCUCUCCCGCCCA
rnacentral:tRNA from 1 species